GUCAACUUCUCAUCCUCAAACUAGUUUGUCAACUUGUGUUGUAUUAGAUGACUAUAGGAGUUCGUUAAAACCGGUUAUGGUGGAGGCAUUAGUUUGUGGUGCAAGUUAUAUCAAGGGUGCUCACGUUGACUUGAAUCUGGUGCCGAGGGAUGAGAAUGAAGAGGAUGAUGUUGAGACCAUCAAGUUACCCAUUGUGGUGGAGGAGAUCAACGAUUGACGUUCAUCAUGUGGAUGUUGAUCUUGCUAU